UCCUUCAAUCGGUUCAGCAAUGGAGAGCCCUUGCAGGAAAGUUAAAGUAACAGUAAGCCAAAGGUGAGAGAGUUGCUGACAUGAUUGUUUGAGAUAAUAAAAGUGAAUCAAUGAGAAUGAUGAAGGCAAGCACGUGCAUAUUGAAAGACGCUUUAAAGUUUGGAACUGAGAAUGACUUUGGGAGGUUUUAACAGGAGUGAAAUUGAGCACCAAAUCAUUCAGAAGACUUGGAUUAGCAAAUGCUUUAUCAACAGAUUUAAGUGGCAAAUGCUUAAAUUUUUUCUUCAGACUCCUAGCUGCAGAAUAAUGAGGCAGACCAGUUAAAGAUAAAUGCCUCAGAUUAUUUUCUUGGCUCAGCUUUUUCUGGAAAGAAAAAAGGUGUUUGGGCAGAAAAUAACAGAGGCACAAAACUAGCACUUCAAUAUCUCCAAGGGAUGGCUAAAUGGGAACUGUGCCAUCCUUUUUCCUUUUUAUUGGGGUUUUGCUGUUUAUGCUUUCAAAUUAUCUGUCUACAGUUCUAUACUAGUUGAAUUCGUUUCUUUAUUGGUUUGAACAUUCAAACUUUCAAUUCUGUUAUCGUUUUCUAUACUACUAUGAAUUCCUUUAUCAGUUUGAUUGAACGUUCGAACUUUUAGAAACACCCAUCCUCUAUAAUCUAAUCUUAAAGCAAAUUGAGGCAUUUGUCAGUAAGAUUUGUCAUGCAUGACACAUUAUCCCUGUUCCUAAUCACAUUGUUUAUGUUUCUCCAUUCAUGUCGACCACAAUCUGAUCAAGAACUUCAUUCUAACUAAUCCUCAAUUUAUUUCCCUGAUUCUUGUAACACAAAAUGGGAAAAAAAUUUCAAAAUAGGAAAAUGUCAGCCAUUGAAAGCAUACAAUGACUCAACAAGGUAACUGCAGCAUUAUAACAAACAUGAUAUGGAUCCAAUGCCCAACUAUCAGUAACAAGCUUGUAAACAAAACCCGAAAAAGGCCAAUCAAAUGCAAGGUUAAGAAUCAUUCAAACCUUCAAUCAUCAUCACCAAUAAGUGCAUUACUGAUUCUGCAACCAAAGAAAUAUUCAAAAAAAAAAGAAAAAGAUUUGUGGCAAGAAAAUGUUGUCCCCUCAAGCAUGCCCUCCAAUAUGAAAUCCACCUACAUAUAUAUAUAUAUACAGAGUAUACACAAAUUGAAAGCCUGUAACUUCAUGCUAAAGCCCCAACAAUUAUUCAAGUAAGGAAUAAAAUUCCUCAAUAUUUCUCUUUUUCUUUUGCCCACACUUUUCUCUUUGUUGGAACAAUCAACCUUCACCAUGAUCAUCAUCAUGAAGCGUCUUGCUCAAUUUGUAUAGCAUCGAUCAUAUAUAUGAAUUGUUAUAUCUCUGAGAGGAAAAAAGAAAAAAAAAGAAGCAAGAAUUUGGUGCAUAAAUAUAACUUCAAUUCUAAGGCAACAACUUAGAAAACUUUAUCAUUUCUUCUAAUGAAAGAUUCAAACAACAAAUCUUCAAAGCAUUCCUGCACUUUGAGCUUAACUUUAGACAAACCUUCUAUUUAGUAUUGAAAACCCUGAGAUAAC
rnacentral:lncRNA from 1 species